rnacentral:rRNA from 1 species
GACGAACGCUGGCGGCGUGCUUAACACAUGCAAGUCGAACGAUGAACCCGGAGCUUGCUCCGGUGGAUUAGUGGCGGACGGGUGAGUAACACGUGAGUAACCUGCCCUUGACUCUGGGAUAACUGCGGGAAACUGUAGCUAAUACCGGAUACGACCCUCGGCGGCAUCGCCAGGGGGUGGAAAGAACUUCGGUCAAGGAUGGACCCGCGGCCUAGCAGCUAGGUGGUGAGGUAACGGCCCACCCAGGCGACGACGGGUAGCCGGCCUGAGAGGGGGACCGGCCACACUGGGACUGAGACACGGCCCAGACUCAUACGGGAGGGAGCAGUGGGGAAUAUUGCACAAUGGGCGCAAGCCUGAUGCAGCAACGCCACGUGAGGGAUGACGGCCUUCGGGUUGUAAACCUCUUUUAGUAGGGAAGAAGCGAAAGUGACGGUACCUGCAGAAAAAGCACCGGCUAACUACGUGCCAGCAGCCGCGGUAA